ACUGUGCAGGGCCAGCACUGGUCCCACGGAUGGUACCCAGGGGGCAAGAGGGACCUCAGCGCCUCACAGGUCCCCGCCGCACUCCGGCCCUGCCCGACCCCGCCGUGCCGCCCGCUCCAGCCGAUGCCCUCAACCCUCCGGGCCGCAGUGUGGCGCCCUCUGGAGGCCGCCCUGCGCCAACCGCAUUGAGCAGCCCCACGCCGCACUACAUUUCCCAUCGUGCCUCGCUCCGCGCUCUCCUCUCAUUGGUCCGCUACUCCCGCCUUAUUCGCGUCACAUCCGGCCUGCUGCUGGCCGCCAUGUUGGCGGCGCUGAGGUAUUGCGGUCCGCGCUCCUUCCCCGCUGCUGUUACCGGGCCUGUCCCUGCUUGGAGCCCGUGGUUGGUGCCGUGUCGGGGCCGCAAAUCGCGGCACGAUCCCCCCGCCAAAUCUAAAGCGUCGCGGCUGAAAGUGCCUCCUCCCGUCGACCCCGCCGAGCUCUAUGUGGUCACCGAACGAUACCGGCAGCACCGCCUGGUGCUCAGCGCCCUCCGCUCCAUCUUCAGGUCCGAGGUGGUGCAGAGGAAGCAUGAGGCACAAAAGGAUGCUGAGGACUCAGCAGCACUGUCAGAGGAGCACCGUUUGCUGAUGGCCUGGAACGAUGCUGAGAAUGCACGACAGCGGGCACGCAGAGAAGAAAGAAUUAGGAAAGAAGAGGAAGAACAGAAGAUGCAGAAGCUGCAGGCUGCGGAGAACAAAGCCAAAGUGAUGGAGGCCUUUCUGAAGGAGAAAGAGAAAGAAGUCCUGCAACUGCAGGAGGAAGCAAAAACCUUCAUCACUCCUGAGAACCUGGAGGCUCGGAUUGAGGAGUGCCUGGACAACCCUCGCAACUACAACUUCGCCAUUGACAAAGAGGGACGCAUCGUCAAGCGCACUGCACUGUCCUAGCAGCUCUGUCUCAUGGCUGAAGGGGAUGUGCUGGCCUGGCCUCCACCUGGAGGCCGGGGUUCUUCCUUUUAAUGCACAAAUCAGCCACAGAAUUGAUGGACAAACAGCCUGCUUCCUGUGCUGCUGUUGCAGAGGAUGUUGGACCUGGCCAAAACCACAAGUCUCACAGAGGGGUGAGAUGUGAUCUGUACGAGGUGUAAACCCCAGAACCUCUGCCAGGACCUGAACACCAAAUCUUCACUUCCCAAAGGCAACAAAGCCCCAGAGUGCAAGGAGGUGACGGCGUCCGAAGGCAGAUCCCCAUCACAAAUCUGAGGACAGGGUGUGAAAGGGAGGUUGGAAUCCAUGCAUGCUGGUGGGAUCCUGGGGUGAGGAUGGAUGGCCUCAAAUCGUGGCUCUGGAUGGGAUUUUUCCCUUUUAGCACCAGGGGGCACCAGCUCAGCAAAAUCCUGUCGAAUGGGGGCUGAGCCUCCAACGUGGAAAACAGUGGAAAUGGGAAAAUGGCUUCAGGGAGUCAGAGGAAGGCAUGGCACCCACCUGCAUGGCCCCAUCCUGCCCAUCCCCAAGCUCCCAAUGAACCCUGGAGCUCAGCACUCCCCCCUUAUCCCCAACACCUCAGACAAAGCCAGCACAGUGCAAGAGGACUUUAUUAGAUCUGCUAUUUACAACGGGUCCUUCUGAUAUCCCAGCUGCUCAGAGGCCGGGCUGCUUGCCUUGCUGCUGCCUGUUGGCCAGGUGCAUCAGCCUCAGCAGUAGGUCCCCAGCUGUGCCAUCCAGCACCGUCAGGUUCUUCUCCUCUGCCUCUUCUGGCUGUUCACUGCCUUCCUCCAGGCACACGGCGUCCAUGGCACAUGUGUCUGCAGUGGGGAAAGCAUCACAGUUAGGAGCAGUUGGUUUCAGGUCGUAGAAUCAUAGAAUGGGUUGGGUUGAGUCGGGUUGGGUUUGGAUGAGUUGAGUUGGGUUGAAUUGGGUUGGGUUGAGUUGGAUUGAGUUGUGUUGGGUGGAGGGAUCUUAAAGAUCGUCUGUUUCCCAUCAGAGAAGCCCAAACUCCAGCUUUAUUGCUCCCAUGAAUGAGGAAGCAGGGAUUUUUUAUGGUUUGUGUGUCCAGCAGAGCAUGUGUGUCCAUGUCUCAUGGUGGAGACGUGGGAAGGAGCUCUGAGCUCCAUCUCUGUUCCAAGCUGGCGACAUCGUCUGCUCUGUGCCCAAGUUUGGAGGAUGCUGGUUCAGAAGGUAAAUGCUAAUUUGGGGGAUGCUGAUUUUUGAGAACGCUGUUUUGGAGGAUGCUGCUGCUUUGGGGAGGGACGCCGAUCCUUUUGCAAAGCACCGGAGCACUCACCAACCCUUUGCAACCCCCCAAUCCAAA